UACGGAGGGUGCAAGCGUUAAUCGGAAUUACUGGGCGUAAAGCGUGCGCAGGCGGUUUGUUAAGUCUGUUGUGAAAUCCCCGAGCUCAACUUGGGAAUUGCAAUGGAUACUGGCAGGCUGGAGUAUGGUAGAGGAAGGUGGAAUUCCCGGUGUAGCAGUGAAAUGCGUAGAGAUCGGGAGGAACACCAGUGGCGAAGGCGGCCUUCUGGACCAUAACUGACGCUGAGAUACGAAAGCGUGGGUAGCAAACAGG
rnacentral:rRNA from 1 species